ACGGGUGGGUAAAUAGAUAGGUGGGAGAUAGAUGGGUAGGUAGAUAUAAAGGGUGAAGAUAGAUGGGUAGGUAGAUAUAUAUGUGGGAGAUAGAUGGGUAGGUAGAUAUAUAGGUGGUAGAUAGAUGGUAGGUAGAUAUAUAGGUGGUAGAUAGAUGGGUAGGUAGAUAUAUAGGUGGCAGAUAGAUGGAUAGGUAGAUAGAGAGAGAUAGACGGGUGGGUAGAUAGAUAAGUGGGAGAUAGAUGGGUAGGUAGAUAUAUAGGUUGAAGGUAGAUAUUAGGUAGAUAUAUAGGUUGUAGAUAGAUGGGUAGGUAGAUAGAUAGGUGGGAGAUAGAUGGGUAGGUAUAUAGGUGGUAGAUAGAUGGGUAGGUAGAUGUUAAGUGGUAGAUAGAUGGAUAGGUAGACAGAUAGGUGGGAGAUGGAUGGAUAUGGAAGCAGACGGGUAGGUAAAUAUAUAGGUGAUUGAUAGAUAGAUAGGCGAUAGAUUGGUAGGUAGAUAUAUAGGUGGGAGAUAGAUGGGUAGGUAGACAGGUAGGUGGGAGAUAGAUGGGUAGGUAGAUAUAUAGGUGGGAGAUAGAUGGUAGGUAGAUAGUUAGGUGGUAGAUAGAUGGGUAGGUAGAUAUAUAGGUGAAAGAUAUAUGGGUAGGAGAUAGAUAGAUAGAUAGAUAGAUAGAUAGAUAGAUAGAUAGAUAGAUAGAUAGAUAGAUAGAUAGAUAGAUAGAUAGAUAGAUAGGUGUACAGAUGGGUAGGUAGGUAGAUAGAUGGGUACACAGAUGGGUAGGUAGGUACGUAGGUAGGUAGGUAGAUAGAAGGGUGUACAGAUGGGUAGGUAGGUAGGUAGGUAGAUGGGUGUACAGAUGGGUAGGUAGGUAGAUAGAUGGGUGUAUAGAUGGGCAGGUAGAUAGAUAUAUGGUUGUACAGACGGUUAGGUAGGUAGAAGGGUGUACAGAUGUGUAGGUAGGUAGGUAGAUGGGUGUACAGAUGGGUGGGUAGGUAGAUAGUUAGGUGUACAGAUGAGUAGGUAGGUAGAUAGAUAGGUAAGUAGGUAGAUGGGUGUACACAUGGGUAGGUAGAUAGAUAUAUAGGUUUACAGAUAGGUAGGUAGGUAGAUA